rnacentral:piRNA from 1 species
UCCAGGCCUCACUUUUGUCGGCAUAGC